UUGGCUCAGGAUGAACGCUAGCGACAGGCCUAACACAUGCAAGUCGAGGGGCAGCACAAGGAGCAAUCUGAGGUGGCGACCGGCGCACGGGUGAGUAACACGUAUGCAACCUGCCUGUAAGCGGGGAAUAACCCGUUGAAAGACGGACUAAUACCGCAUAAUACUAAAUUACUGCAUGGUAAUUUAUUUAAACAUUUAUGGCUUACAGAUGGGCAUGCGCAUGAUUAGCUAGUUGGAGAGGUAACGGCUCCCCAAGGCAACGAUCAUUAGGGGUUCUGAGAGGAAGGUCCCCCCACACUGGUACUGAGACACGGACCAGACUCCUACGGGAGGCAGCAGUGAGGAAUAUUGGUCAAUGGACGAGAGUCUGAACCAGCCAAGUCGCGUGCAGGAAGAAUUGUCCUAUGGAUUGUAAACUGCUUUUGCAGGGGAAUAAAGUGCAUCACGUGUGAUGUUUUGUAUGUACUCUGCGAAUAAGGAUCGGCUAACUCCGUGCCAGCCGCCGC
rnacentral:rRNA from 1 species